AUGCGAGAUGAAAAAUGUUUUGAAACAGAGGAGACAUUAAGAUGCUGGCUUCCCAAAGAAGUUGAGGGGAAGUCAGAAGCCGCCGCUGACAUCGAGGUGGAUGAAGAUCGACUUGAGCCCAGAUCAGAUGAUGAUGACACAAACUUUGAAGAAUCUGAAGAUGAGCUGAGAGAUGAGGUGGUGGACUCCCUAGAGAAACUUUUAAGUUCCAUAGAGGAGGAGAGGAGAGAAGAGCUGCCAGCCAAAACCCAAAGUGGAGAACAGCCUGAAACUGAAGAACGUUGGAGAAAGCAAACCUCUGAGAACUCACCUGAGGGUAGAGAACUCCACUCCGUUCCACCCACUGCGGAAAACAUGAUUUCCCAGGAGGGACGAGGAAGAGGGCAUGCCCAAAAGAUGCACGUGUGAGGAGUAAGUAUAUAGUCUUCUAGGUAAGAGCAGUUGAGCCUCAAUGCCACUGUCACUGAGCACGUGUGGGCAGAGGGAGGGAAGAGUAUUGGCCCAAGAGGUUGGAAAGACAGUUGACUCAGAGCGAGGAGUGGCAGGGAACGGGGAUGGCUUAGAGGCCCAGGGGCUGGGGGUCCUGGGGAUUGGACUAGUGUAUUCCAAGGGUGGGAGAGAGGCCAAGGUGCUGGUCAAACUGGAUGGGCAACCCAGGUGGCGAAGAGGAAGAUAAUUGGGGACGAGGUGGGGGUUGGAGCCGGGAAGGUAGGGAGGGGCCUGAGAAACAGACCUUGCUCCUUGUGGGCAGGGAUAAUGUCUUCCAACUUGACUGUCCUGGACUUUGGUAAGCGCUUAGUACAAUGCCCUGUGCACAGUAAGCGUUCAGUAAAUACCACUGAUUGAUCAGCCGAUGGCCAAGCAUAUGGAGAGAGAGAGAAGGGACAGUUAGAGAAGAAAAAGGGGGGAGAAAAGGAAGAUAAAAUGGAGGCAGACAACAAUAGGAAGAGAUGAGAGAUGUGGGGUGUGAGAGGAGGAAAGAUGGGAACUAAAAUAAAGGGGUGGUAUGAUAAAUCUGGCUGAUAUAUCUUAGGAAGGAUUUAUUGAAGCUGAAGAAAUAUCUACUACGAAGGCUAUUGAGAUGAUUAAGGAGAUGGAGAUAUUCCCUGUGGGGAUAAGCUGAAAAAAUGAGUUUGAAAAAGUGGUUAAUACAGUACCUGGCACAUAGUAAGUGCUUAAUAAAUACCAUUAAUAAAAAAGGAAAGAAGUUGAGGUGGCCCAUGAUCCAAGUCCACAGUGGGAGGGAACGGGAGUGUGGCGAGAAGUGGGUAAAGCCGUGGGCAUCACGGCAGAGAAAGGUCGGAGGAGAGUCGCUGGAGCCGGAAGUGACCGCCUAAUAAGCUAUGCAUUCAAGUGCAGCAGGGCCACUUAAUGAAGGAACAGGGAAGUAGCCAGGCCCCAUUUGCUAAUCCUUCUAGCCCACCUCGAUCCCAGGUCCCCGUUCUCCUACUCCCACUCCCUCAGUGAACCCUCAAGUCACGCCAGCCGAUCCCCAAAAUCACCGUGUGUGUGCCACCCCAUCUCCCACUCUGUGUUUCUGUUCUGUCCUGCUCCUCUGACGGUGAGACUGCUAUUCCAGGACUUGUGCGAUGGAAACUAUAAGACGUUUGAAAAGUAUAUUUUGAUCGUGUUCUGGAAAGUAACCAGGGACUAGACCUGAAAUCAAGAAUACUGUAGUAACCCAACUGGUUUAGAACAAGGUUCAAGGUAUAUUCAAAUGGGCGUCUAAUGUUUAACAACGGUUGGGAAGGCCCUUUCGUAAAUAAAUCUGUAACUGGCUCAUAAUAUAUUUUGAUUUUUAUUUUGAUAUUGGAUCAGAAGAGUCUUUAGUAGCAGCUCUUAUCAACAUCUGUCAUCAUCAAGUUCAUUAAGUAUCCUCUGCACAGCACACUUUGAGAAAGUUACAGUAAGUAUCACAUUAGAGACUUAAUUUUAGUCUUGGCAUUCUGUACUGAGUACAUUAAAAGGAAGUGUGAUAAUCAAAUAGAGAAAGCGAGUUGAUCUCCCUGCCGCCCUCAUCUGCCACGGUCAUCACUCAUUCCAAAAACCUAAACCCAACUAACACCACUUCGCCUAAAGGGGUCAGGGUGAAGGGGCUUAAACCUAGCUUUUCAAUCCCUUGCCCUAUAUCCUUUCAGCCUCUGGACUCUGAAAUCGGUUUCCCAGAAAAUCUGGGUCCUGGCCAGAGACAGGAGGGAAUUAUAUAAAAUCUACAGAAAGCAUGGAGUCUGUUAUGGUACUUGUUAAGCACUUACUAUGUGCCAAGCACUGUCCUAACCACUGGGGUAGAUUCAAGGUAGUCAGGUUGGACACAGUCCCUGCCCCUGGCUCACACUCUCAAUCAUUUUAUAGAUGAGGUAACUGAGGCCCAGAGAAGUGAAUUGACUUGCCCAAGGUCCCACAUCAGACAUAUGGCGGAACUGGCAUUAGAAGCCAUGACCUUCCGACUCCCAGGUCUGGGACUCUACCCACUAAGCCACACUGCUUCUGUCACUGGGUCCGUGUUCAGACCUUGGUGUCGGCAGGAACUGGCCUAAUAGCUAGUCUUUGCUUGAUUUUGUGAGUGGGUAUCUGCACAGGUCCCGUCCGCUCUAGCUGAAGUUGGGACCCGAUUCACAAAACAUUACCUAAAAUUUGCCUUGGUGGAUUAACAUAAUUUAAACGCUGCCUGAAUUGAAUGCCGGUGUUUGAAUAGCAUCCAUUAGAUUGAGAUUAAGUCCCCUUCGAAAUGCUGCCACUUCCUUGACUGGACGUUUCGUCUAAGGCACGAACCCAUACCAGGCGACUUCCCUUCCCAAUAGCUGACGGUGUUGCUUCCCCGCACUGGCACACACAGACAGGCUGAGCCCAGUUACGCUGGCAUGAUGAAUUAUUUAUUCUGUUUUUAAAGCCUAGCCCUACGCCCCGGGGCAUACUUACACAAUCAAGUGCACAGAUAUUCUGAAAAGACCGGCCUUCACGUCACAACAUUAUCUUUGGGAUGUGCCCGUCUAAAAUGAUGGGUGGUUCUAGUGGUCCCAAGAGAGUAAGAAAGCUUUAACCCUGGAAGGGUGGGAGAUGCCCGAGGCAGGGAGCCCUCUCGGAAAGCACCCUCCUUCUCUUUCCGGGAAACGUGGCACUCGGAAGGCUUGGAGGAGAACCGGGAUAUUUUAAUUCCACUGAGGGUUCAGAGGAAAGGGAGUGGAGUAACCUUAGAAAUUAUAGUCCAAACAGAUCCUGUUGUGGGCUAACAGACAGCUUCAAGUGCUCUCAGGAGCAGCUAUAGAGUAGGAUGUGGGGGGCUGCACAUGAAAGUUGUUAGCUCAUAACUUGACACCAUGAGAUGGCUUUUGGAGAAACAGGUUAUUACAGGAAUUUUGAGUGACACCAGCGCCUGCCUCAUUAUUAUACAAACGUAACUGCUGCCAGUUUCAUUAUUUAGUUAGAGAAUAAACCCUUCAUGGAAGUUUGUUGUCACUUCAACAGUAAAGGUAGGAUGGGACAGUCUCAAACACUGAAUGGGAUGUAGAAUUUAAAUACGAAUGAAUUUUCCAGAAAUGAGCCUAAAGUCAAUUAUGCCUGGGCACUGGUCAAAUAAGAGGCAUCCAAACCCUUGCCCUCAUUCUCUUAAUAAAUAAAUAAAUAAAAACUAUGCUGAUUUGUUCUUAGCACACCUGAACACUCGUCAGUCUCAAAAUACGUACUCUUAGAGACUAGUGUCUGCCUCGGCUGCGGUUUUGCAGAGCAGCCGUAAAAUUCCAAAUCAAACACCAAGUUAGAAAACUGUGGCUUCCCAUUCCAGGUGAUUUGAUAGAGAACACAAUAGGUUUUCAUGCAGUGAUUCUUCCUUCUUCUAAUCAUCAAAAUAAAUACCCUUGCCAAGGUCCACAGAAAGAAAGGGUGACUUUAUUAUACCAAGGGAAUCCCUGUCUAGAAAAAAUAUUUACAGGUGAAGGGAUCUGACCACGAUCUAUAAAAUACUAUUAA
rnacentral:lncRNA from 1 species